GACAGAGGUGCCGAGCGUUAGGCGGAAUCACUGGGCUUAAAGCGUGUGUAGGCGGAUUUGUAAGUACCUUGUGAAAUCCCACGGCUCAACCGUGGAACUGCUCGGUAUACUGCUUAUCUUGAGCCACUUAGGGGCAGUCGGAACAGAUGGUGGAGCGGUGAAAUGCGUAGAGAUCAGGAAGAACACCGGUGGCGAAAGCGCUCUGCUAGGCCGCAACUGACACUGAGGGACGAAAGCUAGGGGAGCGAAUGGG
rnacentral:rRNA from 1 species